rnacentral:rRNA from 1 species
GACGAACCACCCAAACGUUAUUCGGAAUUACUGGGCUUAAAGGGUGCGUAGGCGGUGUAGCAAGUCGGGUGUGAAAUCCCUCAGCUUAACUGAGGAAUUGCGCCCGAAACUGCUGCGCUCGAGGGAGACAGAGGUGAGCGGAACUGAUGGUGGAGCGGUGAAAUGCGUAGAUAUCAUCAGGAACACCGGUGGCGAAAGCGGCUCACUGGGUCUCUUCUGACGCUCAGGCACGAAAGCUAGGGGAGCAAACGGG